rnacentral:rRNA from 1 species
AUUGAACGCUGGCGGCAUGCCUUACACAUGCAAGUCGAACGGCAGCACGGGUGCUUGCACCUGGUGGCGAGUGGCGAACGGGUGAGUAAUACAUCGGAACAUGUCCUGUAGUGGGGGAUAGCCCGGCGAAAGCCGGAUUAAUACCGCAUACGAUCUACGGAUGAAAGCGGGGGACCUUCGGGCCUCGCGCUAUAGGGUUGGCCGAUGGCUGAUUAGCUAGUUGGUGGGGUAAAGGCCUACCAAGGCGACGAUCAGUAGCUGGUAUGAGAGGACGACCAGCCACACUGGGACUGAGACACGGCCCAGACUCCUACGGGAGGCAGCAGUGGGGAAUUUUGGACAAUGGGCGAAAGCCUGAUCCAGCAAUGCCGCGUGUGUGAAGAAGGCCUUCGGGUUGUAAAGCACUUUUGUCCGGAAAGAAAUCCUUGGCCCUAAUACGGUCGGGGGAUGACGGUACCGGAAGAAUAAGCACCGGCUAACUACGUG